rnacentral:lncRNA from 1 species
GGAAAUUCCAGUUUAAAGAUCUUGGUGCAACCAACGAGAUCGAGGUUAUUCACGUCAGGGUUUCCCCAUUUCGCAGUAUAUAAAAGCAUAGUGUUUGGUGUAGUAUAAGAUGUUAUAGAUAAUCUUGGGAAAUUUUUAAAAGUGACGAUACAGAUAACGAAUUGUGUUGUUUGUAUAAAAGUAAAAACGACGUUUAUUUAUUUAGUUCUCUAAGAAAUUUUAUUCGCGAUUAUUGAAUGGUUUAAAUAGUUUUUGUGAUAAGAUUCGUGUUAACAGGAAAUUUAUUAACCACUAUAUCCUUUGUGACUUUAUGUGACGCCGUUGUCGUGAUUUUAAGAGGAAAUUAAUGAAAAUUCGUGAAAUUAAAUAAAUAAUAUGGGAAAGAACUUUUUUUGUUGUGGAUUAAUUCUGACGUUUUUGGUUAUGGAAAUUUGGGGUACAGCUCAUAAUUGUUAUUAUGGAUUUUGUAAAGAUUCUCCUAAUUACCCUUAUGAAAAAAUUCAAGAGGUUUUAAAAGAAGACAGUAAAUAUCACGUGUUUUUUAAUUGGAACCAUGGAAGAGAUCUUGGAAAUAUUAAAACAAAACGGAACAUAUCACCAUCGUUAUUAAUACGGAAGAUUUUAAGCAACACCUCGAAUAUGUGAGAUAGAACUUGAUUUUUAAAAGUAAGAAACUCGCGUUUUUGAAGAGAAGAUCCAAAUUGAAGAACUGUUUCACCAAAAAUAUGUGAGAUUGUAAAUAAUUUGAUGAGUAAAAAAAUGUAUGAAUUUUAUAACAUAAAAUUAAUUUGUUAUAACUAUUUAUUUAUGUAUAUAUUUAAAGGAAAUAAACGUUAACUUUAAAGUCGC